rnacentral:rRNA from 1 species
CCUACGGGUGGCAGCAGUGGGGAAUAUUGCACAAUGGGGGGAACCCUGAUGCAGCGACGCCGCGUGGGUGAGGAAGUACUUCGGGAGGUAAAGCCCUAUCAGCAGGGCAGAAAAUGACGGUACCUGACUAAGAAGCCCCGGCUAACUACGUGCCAGCAGCCGCGGUAAUACGUAGGGGGCAAGCGUUAUCCGGAUUUACUGGGUGUAAAGGGAGCGUAGACGGCGUGCCAAGUCUGGUGUGAAAGGCCGGGGCUCAACCCCGGGACGGCAUUGGAAACUGGCAUGCUAGAGUGUCGGAGGGGCAAGCGGAAUUCCUAGUGUAGCGGUGAAAUGCUUAGAUAUCACGAAGAACCCCGAUGGCGAAGGCAGCUUACUAAACUGUGACUGACAUUGAGGCUCGAAAGUGUGGGUAUCAAAUAGGAUUAGAUACCCUUGUAGUC